UGAGCCUUGUUAAAGCAGCGGCCACCGUUAUGCCGUUAUGCAUCACUUAUCCACAGAUCUGCUAUUGCCAGGAUCGCUUUUACUGUCUUGGAACAUAUGCCGUUAAUUGUUUCUGGUAGAACACUUAACUCAUUCAACUUCGUAUGGAUAUGGCGUGAGGAGUGACCUUCGAGUUUGCUAUGUUUAGAUGCACCUAGCAACAAACAGAUGUUCGUCUGUAAUAAACCCCCUCGUCGGAGAGCAGGAAAGCGACGAAAUAGACUAGAGAAUGUCUGCUCUGUAAGUGCGGCAACUACUCUCUGCCCGGGCCUUCGUCAGUGUUACGGUAUCGUCGC